UACGAAGGGGGCUAGCGUUGCUCGGAAUCACUGGGCGUAAAGGGUGCGUAGGCGGGUCUUUAAGUCAGGGGUGAAAUCCUGGAGCUCAACUCCAGAACUGCCUUUGAUACUGAAGAUCUUGAGUUCGGGAGAGGUGAGUGGAACUGCGAGUGUAGAGGUGAAAUUCGUAGAUAUUCGCAAGAACACCAGUGGCGAAGGCGGCUCACUGGCCCGAUACUGACGCCGGGGCACGAAAGCGUGGGGAGCAAACAGG
rnacentral:rRNA from 1 species